CGCGAAUUCCAGAGAGUUUUGAUUCUGAAUGGAGUCUUCUUCUGCUCAGAAACUGUGUUUACAUUUAAUAUCUUCAUCGUAUCAGAGAUGCCGAUUAUCGGAGCAGAUUUGCAGACUCGCUGUUAUUCUCACUCGCUCUUCAUCUUCGCACCCUUCUCUUCGAAUCUCAAGCAUUUAGGAGCUGCCUAGAGGAAUUUCGGGACUUGAGGUUUUCUUCCACGGAUGUUGCAGACAAUUGGGAUGGAAUGCUUCCUCUCAAAACCACCAGUAAGUGUAAUAAUGUUCUCAUGUUAGUUGGGCUUUGAUCUCAUUGUGCAUAUAGAUAUCCCACAUGCACAAAGUAGAAAAGAGAUAACAAUUCUUGUAGCCGCGUCAACUCUAUUGCUCUUGCAUUGAUGUGGGAGGUAAUAUGCCAGGCCAGCCAUUUUGCCUAAGGAAAAUGGUUUUAAUCUCUCUCUUCAUAUUAUUUCAAUAGUAGGUAUAGGUACUUUUGAUAUGAAGUCAUUUUUCACCAGCCAUGUGGAAAUUUGUCAAGUUUUAUGUUUCCUUGGUGCCCGUGUAAUUAUACUAUGUCACUGUUCAAGAGUGAAGCAGGUUUUCAACUGUAUAUUAUAUUACCACGUUUAGUUUAGUUACUGUCAUGAUUCUUAUUGCAGUCUAUGGACAUUGUAGGCAUCAGCGAUACCGAGAUACAUAAUUAUCAGAUAAACCUGAAGGGAAGUGGUUCCUCUAGAAUAACUCGACUAUCUCCAAACAUAAAAAAUGGGGAAAA